GACAGCAGUAGCCGCGGUAAUACAGAGGGUGCGAGCGUUAAUCGGAUUUACUGGGCGUAAAGCGUGUGUAGGUUGUUGUUCAAGUCAGUUGUGAAAUCCCUGGGCUCAACCUGGGAACUGCUUCUGAGACUGAACGACUAGAGUACGGUAGAGGGUGGUGGAAUUUCCGGUGUAGCGGUGAAAUGCGUAGAUAUCGGAAGGAACAUCAAUGGCGAAGGCAGCCACCUGGGCCUGUACUGACACUGAGACACGAAAGCGUGGGGAUCAAACAGGAUUAGAUACCCCAGUAGUCCCUGUCUCUUAUAC
rnacentral:rRNA from 1 species